rnacentral:sRNA from 1 species
AAAGUCUUUGUAGCGCUGGGGGUGUUUUAUUCCGGACUUCUGAAAUUCAUUCUCCUGGUGUCUACAAUACAGUAUUAUUCCAAGGUUGGGUUGAUAAUAAGAUAUUCGAGGUAGUGCGAGAAUGGCGAAUGCAAAAAAAUCGCGUGGCACAGGGACUCUAUCUAGCGGAUCAAUUGGGGCUCUAUCCGGCAAUCGCCUUAGAAUGUCAGAAUUAAUUGUGCGAAGUUUCAACUGAGAAUGUGUGUGGGAGAAAUAACGUGUACACAUUUUUAACCAGACAGACAGACAGACGGACAGAGAAACACCACAAGAUAGAUUUAGCCUCCAAGUAUGAAACUCUUCAAUAUAAGGUCACGUGGUAUACUGCGUCAUGGGCACAGCACUGUGAAAACAGCAAAGUGACAUCAGACGCACGCCAUAAACAACUCCGAACCAACUGGUCCAGACAUGUGAGUGUCCAAAUAACAGCGUGCCUACAGAACGGGAGAGAAUCAGAACCAGAGAGAACUGAACAAUUCGGCAACAGAUUAGAACUGAUGUGCUGUGUCUAUACUAAUAUACUACAAUGAAUAGAAAUCUGAUGGCGUCAGAUGGCGAAAUACUAUUAGAUACACUUGACACACUGAUAGACAGUACACAAACACAUUUAGCAAAUAACACACACACACAC